UGAGGAAUAUUGGGCAAUGCCCGCAAGGGUGACCCAGCAACGCCGCGUGGAGGAUGAAUGUCGUAAGAUUGUAAACUCCUGUUAGAGGGGAAGAAUAGUACCGGUUGGACCGGUAUAUGACUGUACCCUCAGAGAAAGCCCCGGCUAACUACGUGCCAGCAGCCGCGGUAAUACGUAGGGGGCAAGCGUUGUCCGGAUUUACUGGGUGUAAAGGGCGCGCAGGCGGGAUAAAAAGUCAGUGGUGAAAUCCUACAGCUUAACUGUAGAACUGCCUUUUAUACUUUUAUUCUUGAGUUCGGGAGAGAGAGACGGAAUUCCAGGUGUAGUGGUGAAAUACGUAGAUAUCUGGAAGAACACCAGUUGCGAAGGCGGUCUCUUGGUCCGACACUGACGCUGAGGCGCGAAAGCGUGGGGAGCAAACA
rnacentral:rRNA from 1 species